UUCACCAAAAAUUGUGUCUACACCUGCAAGGGCUAAAAUGCCCCAAAAUGUACUAUAUGGGGAUACGACCAGUUGUCAACUUCUUCCUACCUGAUAGUUAUAUGCAGUAAUCUGUUGUUGUUGCCUUUUUGCUUACAUUCCCAUAUAACACCAUUUCCAAUUUCUUAAAUCUUGUUUUCAAAUCUCUCUUUUGAAAUCUCUCUGCCCCCAUUUUCUAAAAUUUUCUUCUUCCACUGGGGCUAGAGGCUCAAGCAUACAUCAUUUAGUUGUAGGC